rnacentral:misc_RNA from 1 species
GAUGAGAACGCAGCGAAAUGCGAUAAGUAGUGUGAAUUGCAGAAUUCAGUGAAUCAUCGAAUCUUUGAACGCACAUUGCGCCCCUUGGUAUUCCAUGGGGCAUGCCUGUUCGAGCGUCAUUUGUACCUUCAAGCUUUGCUUGGUGUUGGGUGUUUGUCUCGCCUUUGCGUGUAGACUCGCCUUAAAAUAAUUGGCAGCCGGCGUAUUGAUUUCGGAGCGCAGUACAUCUCGCGCUUUGCACUCAUAACGACAGCGUCCAAAAGUACAUUUUACACUCUUGACCUCGGAUCAGGUAGGGAUACCCGCUGAACUUAAGCAUAUCAAUAAGCGGAGGA